GUAGGUGGCAAGCGUUGUCCGGAAUUAUUGGGCGUAAAGCGCGCGCAGGGCGGUCCUUUAAGUCUGAUGUGAAAGCCCACGGCUCAACCGUGGAGGGUCAUUGGAAACUGGGGGACUUGAGUACAGAAGAGGAAAGCGGAAUUCCAAGUGUAGCGGUGAAAUGCGUAGAGAUUUGGAGGAACACCAGUGGCGAAGGCGGCUUUCUGAUCUGUAACUGACGCUGAGGCGCGAAAGCGUGGGGAGCAAACAGGAUUAGAUACCCUGGUAGUCCACGCCGUAAACGAUGAGUGCUAAGUGUUAGGGGGUUUCCGCCCCUUAGUGCCGCAGCUAACGCAUUAAGCACCCCGCCUGGGGAGUACGGCCGCAAAGGCUG
rnacentral:rRNA from 1 species